GACGGAGGAUGCAAGCGUUAUCCGGAAUGAUUGGGCGUAAAGCGUCCGCAGGUGGCAGUUCAAGUCUGCUGUCAAAGACCGGGGCUUAACUUCGGAAAGGCAGUGGAAACUGAACAGCUAGAGUAUGGUAGGGGCAGAGGGAAUUCCUGGUGUAGCGGUGAAAUGCGGCAGAUAUCAGGAAGAACACCGAUGGCGAAGGCAGCUCUCUGGGACGGUACUGACGCGAGGAGCGAAAGCGUGGGGAGCGAACAGG
rnacentral:rRNA from 1 species